rnacentral:rRNA from 1 species
UAAUACGGAGGAUCCAAGCGUUAUCCGGAAUUAUUGGGUUUAAAGGGUCCGUAGGUGGCUUAAUAAGUUAGAGGUGAAAUACUGCAGCUCAACUGUAGAACUGCCUUUAAAACUGUUAGGCUUGAGUUAUUGUGAAGUAGUUAGAAUGUGUAGUGUAGCGGUGAAAUGCAUAGAUAUUACACAGAAUACCGAUUGCGAAGGCAGAUUACUAACAAUUAACUGACACUGAGGGACGAAAGCGUGGGUAGCGAACAGGAUUAGAUACCCUGGUAGUCCACGCCGUAAACGAUGGUCACUAGCUGUUCGAUGUACAUUGGUAUGUUGAGUGGCUAAGCGAAAGUGAUAAGUGACCCACCUGGGGAGUACGCUCGCAAGAGUG